GCGUUGUCUCAGGCUCGCUCCACUUUCUGCCAGCCCUGGGAACCUACCUUGCCUCUGUCCCUUGCACUGGCCCCUCUUUGGGGUUGAGGAGAGGCCGAGAGUUGGAAGUGACUCUUCUCUAAGCAGCCUUCAGGGCCCUGUCAGUGACAUCAUCUUCUGCCACAUCCCUAGACAAGGUAUCCCUUGUGCCCCAGGAUUGGCGCGGAACCCAGAGCUUGGUCCCUGCCCCCAGGGGUCUUAAAAUCUUGUUGGGGAACUAGGGCACAUUUGAGACACCCAGCACCAGGCACUCUAAGGCCAGCAUUGCUCUGGCUACACCGAGCGGCUUGCUCAGAAAAAGCAGAGAUCCUCGCAGCAUGAAGCCAGAUCUGCUGACUUGCUUCCCAGGACUCUUUCAGCCACACCAGGCUCUUUCUCCUAAGGAUAUAAAUAAAAAUGGAUUUUCUGCUAGAAA